GGUUAAGCGACUAAGCGUACACGGUGGAUGCCCUGGCAGUCAGAGGCGAUGAAGGACGUGCUAAUCUGCGAUAAGCGUCGGUAAGGUGAUAUGAACCGUUAUAACCGGCGAUUUCCGAAUGGGGAAACCCAGUGUGAUUCGUCACACUAUCAUUAACUGAAUCCAUAGGUUAAUGAGGCGAACCGGGGGAACUGAAACAUCUAAGUACCCCGAGGAAAAGAAAUCAACCGAGAUUCCCCCAGUAGCGGCGAGCGAACGGGGAGCAGCCCAGAGCCUGAAUCAGUGUGUGUGUUAGUGGAAGCGUCUGGAAAGGCGUGCGAUACAGGGUGACAGCCCCGUACACAAAAAUGCACAUACUGUGAGCUCGAUGAGUAGGGCGGGACACGUGGUAUCCUGUCUGAAUAUGGGGGGACCAUCCUCCAAGGCUAAAUACUCCUGACUGACCGAUAGUGAACCAGUACCGUGAGGGAAAGGCGAAAAGAACCCCGGCGAGGGGAGUGAAAAAGAACCUGAAACCGUGUACGUACAAGCAGUGGGAGCACGCUUAGGCGUGUGACUGCGUACCUUUUGUAUAAUGGGUCAGCGACUUAUAUUCUGUAGCAAGGUUAACCGAAUAGGGGAGCCGAAGGGAAACCGAGUCUUAACUGGGCGUUAAGUUGCAGGGUAUAGACCCGAAACCCGGUGAUCUAGCCAUGGGCAGGUUGAAGGUUGGGUAACACUAACUGGAGGACCGAACCGACUAAUGUUGAAAAAUUAGCGGAUGACUUGUGGCUGGGGGUGAAAGGCCAAUCAAACCGGGAGAUAGCUGGUUCUCCCCGAAAGCUAUUUAGGUAGCGCCUCGUGAAUUCAUCUCCGGGGGUAGAGCACUGUUUCGGCAAGGGGGUCAUCCCGACUUACCAACCCGAUGCAAACUGCGAAUACCGGAGAAUGUUAUCACGGGAGACACACGGCGGGUGCUAACGUCCGUCGUGAAGAGGGAAACAACCCAGACCGCCAGCUAAGGUCCCAAAGUCAUGGUUAAGUGGGAAACGAUGUGGGAAGGCCCAGACAGCCAGGAUGUUGGCUUAGAAGCAGCCAUCAUUUAAAGAAAGCGUAAUAGCUCACUGGUCGAGUCGGCCUGCGCGGAAGAUGUAACGGGGCUAAACCAUGCACCGAAGCUGCGGCAGCGACACUAUGUGUUGUUGGGUAGGGGAGCGUUCUGUAAGCCUGCGAAGGUGUGCUGUGAGGCAUGCUGGAGGUAUCAGAAGUGCGAAUGCUGACAUAAGUAACGAUAAAGCGGGUGAAAAGCCCGCUCGCCGGAAGACCAAGGGUUCCUGUCCAACGUUAAUCGGGGCAGGGUGAGUCGACCCCUAAGGCGAGGCCGAAAGGCGUAGUCGAUGGGAAACAGGUUAAUAUUCCUGUACUUGGUGUUACUGCGAAGGGGGGACGGAGAAGGCUAUGUUGGCCGGGCGACGGUUGUCCCGGUUUAAGCGUGUAGGCUGGUUUUCCAGGCAAAUCCGGAAAAUCAAGGCUGAGGCGUGAUGACGAGGCACUACGGUGCUGAAGCAACAAAUGCCCUGCUUCCAGGAAAAGCCUCUAAGCAUCAGGUAACAUCAAAUCGUACCCCAAACCGACACAGGUGGUCAGGUAGAGAAUACCAAGGCGCUUGAGAGAACUCGGGUGAAGGAACUAGGCAAAAUGGUGCCGUAACUUCGGGAGAAGGCACGCUGAUAUGUAGGUGAAGCGACUUGCUCGUGGAGCUGAAAUCAGUCGAAGAUACCAGCUGGCUGCAACUGUUUAUUAAAAACACAGCACUGUGCAAACACGAAAGUGGACGUAUACGGUGUGACGCCUGCCCGGUGCCGGAAGGUUAAUUGAUGGGGUCAGCGCAAGCGAAGCUCUUGAUCGAAGCCCCGGUAAACGGCGGCCGUAACUAUAACGGUCCUAAGGUAGCGAAAUUCCUUGUCGGGUAAGUUCCGACCUGCACGAAUGGCGUAAUGAUGGCCAGGCUGUCUCCACCCGAGACUCAGUGAAAUUGAACUCGCUGUGAAGAUGCAGUGUACCCGCGGCAAGACGGAAAGACCCCGUGAACCUUUACUAUAGCUUGACACUGAACAUUGAGCCUUGAUGUGUAGGAUAGGUGGGAGGCUUUGAAGUGUGGACGCCAGUCUGCAUGGAGCCGACCUUGAAAUACCACCCUUUAAUGUUUGAUGUUCUAACGUUGACCCGUAAUCCGGGUUGCGGACAGUGUCUGGUGGGUAGUUUGACUGGGGCGGUCUCCUCCUAAAGAGUAACGGAGGAGCACGAAGGUUGGCUAAUCCUGGUCGGACAUCAGGAGGUUAGUGCAAUGGCAUAAGCCAGCUUGACUGCGAGCGUGACGGCGCGAGCAGGUGCGAAAGCAGGUCAUAGUGAUCCGGUGGUUCUGAAUGGAAGGGCCAUCGCUCAACGGAUAAAAGGUACUCCGGGGAUAACAGGCUGAUACCGCCCAAGAGUUCAUAUCGACGGCGGUGUUUGGCACCUCGAUGUCGGCUCAUCACAUCCUGGGGCUGAAGUAGGUCCCAAGGGUAUGGCUGUUCGCCAUUUAAAGUGGUACGCGAGCUGGGUUUAGAACGUCGUGAGACAGUUCGGUCCCUAUCUGCCGUGGGCGCUGGAGAACUGAGGGGGGCUGCUCCUAGUACGAGAGGACCGGAGUGGACGCAUCACUGGUGUUCGGGUUGUCAUGCCAAUGGCACUGCCCGGUAGCUAAAUGCGGAAGAGAUAAGUGCUGAAAGCAUCUAAGCACGAAACUUGCCCCGAGAUGAGUUCUCCCUGACUCCUUGAGAGUCCUGAAGGAACGUUGAAGACGACGACGUUGAUAGGCCGGGUGUGUAAGCGCAGCGAUGCGUUGAGCUAACCGGUACUAAUGAACCGUGAGGCUUAACCUU
rnacentral:rRNA from 1 species